rnacentral:rRNA from 1 species
UACGAAGGGGGCUAGCGUUGCUCGGAAUUACUGGGCGUAAGGGGCGCGUAGGCGGGUCGUUUAGUUAGAGGUGAAAGCCCAGGGCUCAACCCUGGAAUUGCCUUUAAUACUGGCGGCCUUGAGUAUGGCAGAGGUGUGUGGAACUCCGAGUGUAGAGGUGAAAUUCGUAGAUAUUCGGAAGAACACCAGUGGCGAAGGCGACACACUGGGCCAUUACUGACGCUGAGGCGCGAAAGCGUGGGGAGCAAACAGG